GAGGGUGUAGCUCAGUGGUAGAGUGUGUGCUUAGCAUGCACGACGUCCUGGGUUCAAUCCCCAGUGCCACCA
rnacentral:tRNA from 1 species